rnacentral:lncRNA from 1 species
CCAGACAUUUUAAAUUCAGAUGAAAUAAACAUUUGAGAAAACAUCUUAAUUUUAUGUUUUUGCGUUUGAGGCUCAGAUCUGUAUUUAAUCAGACAAUAAAAGAAUUCAUCCUCUAUGGCUGCAACAACAGUAGGCUAUGAGAGAGACAGAGAGAAUAACCAACCAAUCUCUCUUUAUAUAAACUUCUGAGUAGCCUUACCAAGAAAAGAAAACUUAGAAAAGGGUCACCUCAAUUUCUCAAAUGUCUGAUCUAUAAAUCCAAGGAAACAUGUCUCAUCACAGCCUCUCCUAUUAUAUCAAGGGAGGGUCGAUUGGCGCUGAAUUUUAGGAAAUAAUAAAUUUAUCUUUGUAGAUACGUUUUUAAAAUUGAUGAAUAAGAAUAAAAAUAAAAAUAAGAAAGAAAAUAGAUAGGUACUAUUUAUAUAUUUAUUAAUUCUAGAUAUUUUGUAUUUUAUCUUUAUAGAUAUUUCUUCAUUAUCCCCACUUUAUCUCCGGAAAUUUUAAUUAGGAUGAGCGUCACCAUAAAUUAUCCGCUCAUCCUUCCCCCCGCGGAAGGAAAAGUUUAAUUGGGCAGAUUUUCCUAUCACACGCCGAAUAGAAAAAAUUAUCUGCCCUUUAUCCUCCGACCAAACAAGGCUUUGUUUGGAACUUGGGAAAAGAAAAGAAAGGAGUACUAGAAAGGACCAGUACCAUGCCCUUCUUCCAAUAGCAAACCAAAACGGUCUCAAGACACCCCAUGGCUGCAAUCACAGAACAAGAAGAUCCGGGUCGCCCAGCCAAGAAUCAGGUCGGAGCCUCCUUGUUGAAGGGAAAUACAGGAUGCUCACGCUUUGUUUGGAAUCAGCCUUUUUUUAACUUUUUGUCUGGUAAUACAGCAAGGGUAAAAAGCCUGAUUUUUUUGCUUAUUUUUAGCUAAAUUAAAAAAAUUCAAAAAAUAAAAAUUCUUAAUUUUAUUGGUAACAAACUUAAAAAAAAAUUGACUUUUAAGCAUUAUCAAACAAAGCCUCAGUGUAAUUUACCCUUGCUGUAUUACUAGCAAGUACCCCCGUAUCCUUCCACACACAUAUACUAAUAAUUGAUUAAUUGUUCGUGACCACUGAAAAAAGAAAAACUAACUAAAAAACAGAUAAAAUAUAAACUCAUAGAAGAUAUAAUAUAACCUUAGAUAAGAAAUAAGCUCAAAUAAGAAAUACAUUAUAUAAAAAAUUUAUAUAUAUAUAUAUAUAUAUUCAAAUAGAUACAUUGCUAUAAAUUAAAAAAAAUAAAAAAUAUAAUAAUUUUAAAAAAGGGAUAGUUUGGAAGAAAUGAGUAUUUUAAUUUAUUUUUUUGUGUAAAUCUCACAGAAUAAAUGAUAAAUCCAAGCAUUAGAACCCACACCCAAAGAAUAGUAAGAAAAGAAAUUCAAGUGAAAUAAUCAUUGAGAAACCUGUUGACUUACGUUUGUGCGUGAGGCGCGGAUCGGCUAUCGAUCAGACAAUAGAAGAAUCAUUCACCAUGGCUGCAACACCGUGGCUAUGACCCUUUUUUUUUUUUGGAAGAGACACAGAAAAGAACCAACCACUCUCUAUAAUAUAACUUUGAGUUGCCUCACCAAGAAAAGGGUAGCCGAAUCUCUCAAAUAUGAACCAUAAACCCAGAGAAACGUCUCUAAUCACAGCCUUACCUAUAUAUAAAUGAAGGCUUUGUUGAACCUGGGAAAGAAAAGAAAAUAGUACUACAAAGGACCAGGACCAGGACCAGGACCGGCUCUACUUCCAACAGCAAACAAAACAGUUGGCUUUAAGCAGUACCAAACGAAGCCUCUAGAGCCCCAUGGCUGCAACCACCGAUCAAGAAGACGGUCGCCCAGCCACGAAUCAGGUCGUAUCCCUCCAUGUUGGGAGUGUACGGGGAUGCUCAGUGUCAUGACCCCCCACCCCUGGCUUAUUACCAGCAAGCACCCCCCACCCACACAACAGAUACAUCCACACAAUAUACUAGAUCAUUGACCAUGCCCACAUGAGAAAAAAAAAACUAACUAAAAAACAUAUAAUCUAGAUACAUUUACUAUAAAAUUAAAUUAAAAAAUAUAUACUAUAAAAAAAAUGUAGUUUAGGCGAAAUAAGAAGAAAAGAAAGGAGUGCAUAGUUUUGUUGGUAUAAACUCACAAAAAUAAAUCCAAGAUAAGAAACCCACACCAAAGAACAGUAAGACAAAAAUUCAAAUGAAGUAAUCAUUUGGGAAAACCUCUUAUUUUAUGUUUGUGCGGAGGCUCAGAUCUGUAUUUGAUCAUACAAUAGAAGAAUUCACUCCCCAUGGCUGCCACAAAAGUUGGCCUAGAGAGACAGAGAAGAACCCAACCAAUCUUCUAAACUUCUGAGUUGCCUUCACCAAGAAAAAGGUCACAUGAAUUCUCAAAUGUAUGACUUCAUAACCCAAAAGAAAAAGGUUCGUCCAAGCCUUCUAUAUAUCAAUGAAGGCUUUGUUUGGAAAUGGGAAAAAGAAAAGAAAAUAGUUACUA